AAUCCAGGACGCUAGGGUCGGGAGUUGGUGCGAUGCAGAGCGGUGCGAUGCAAUGUGAGUUGGGAGACUAGGGGGUUGUUUGGUUGCUAGCUACAAUUUGCCACACUUUACUUUAGGCAAGUUUGACCAAAUUAACAAGUGUUUGGUUGACAACUAAGUUUAGGCAUAUUCUUUUAGGCUCCACAUGUCAUAGAGUUUAAAAGUGUGGCAAGAUUUUUUUAGGCAUGACAAAGUGUGGCAACCAAUUUGCUAGUCACACUUUUUAUGGCUUGCCACACUUACCUAAAGUUAGUUGUGGUAGACUAUGGCUAGCAACCAAACAUCCUCUAAGAGCGGCAGCCAGGAAAUGUUGCCAUCUUUUUUUCUUUACUUUGUUGAUUGAGCUGAAAAUCACUGCUUUCUGUUGGGCUUUGGGCCAGAUUUACAUCAUGU
rnacentral:lncRNA from 1 species